GAGACCUUUAAGUCAGUCCAGAGAGGCUGGCAAGGGAAAUAUGACAAACAGUCGUAGCUACACAAAGCUCCCGCUUGCGGUUGCUUGUUUUGAAACCUCUUGCCAGUUCUCGGCAGGAGGUUUUUCUUA
rfam:Chloroflexi bacterium RBG_13_50_10 RBG_13_scaffold_50562, whole genome shotgun sequence.